rnacentral:rRNA from 1 species
AAGCUCGUAGUUGAAUUUCGGGCCUUGGUUGGGUGGUCUUGCCGCAAGGUAAGCACUGCUCCGAUCGGGUCUUUCCUUCUGGGGAACCAGCGUGCUCUUAAUUGGGUGCGUUGGGGAUCCAGGACUUUUACUUUGAAAAAAUUAGAGUGUUUAAAGCAGGCCUACGCUUGAAUACAUUAGCAUGGAAUAAUAGAAUAGGACUUUGGUUCUAUUUUGUUGGUUUCUAGGACCGAAGUAAUGAUUAAUAGGGAUAGUUGGG